AGCAUGGUUCGGAUGAUCUAAUCAGGGUGAUAGUUUAACCCUGAGUCGUCCUAAACACAGAGGUCAAAAGGAUGAAUUAUACAGUAACCAUAUUCACGUAGGUUCUGAGUGUUGCGAUUGUGACUAUUCGACCUAUCCGAUCAUCAGGUACCAUUGCUAGAUGGUCACUUCAAUUAGUACAAGAAUUGGUUCCUGUGCUACCGGCUUAGGUUCGAACCUACGGGGUCACACGCAUUAAAGGUUCCUAUCUGAUCUGAUGGCUGAUGAAGAGUCCUAAUACUCGUGGACUAUAAGUUCUACAUGUCUGAGACUCUGUGAUCGAGAAUCAGGAUUCUCUGAUCAUGAGUCCCACACAUUUUGGAUACCGGGGUCAAGAGUCCCACUGGUUUGGGACUCUUCGAUCAGGGUUACAUAUCGAUGAAUUCUGAUGCCCGAUUACCCAUCGGAUUUGGACUCAAUAUUUAUGAGAGAUUUAAUUAGUGAUUUGAUCACUAAUUAACUCAAUUUGAUUGAGUAAUUAUUUUUGGAUCAAGGCCAAUUGAAUUGGAUUCAGUUAGGUUUGACCCGAUUAGGUUAAGAGUUGACCUAAUCGUCGAGAUGGUUUGGUCCCUGAUUUG
rnacentral:lncRNA from 1 species